rnacentral:lncRNA from 1 species
UCCUCUCGCCAAUCUCUCUGUCUCGUCAAUCUCAUCUCCAGUUCCAUUGGUGGUUUCUGCUUUCUUCGAAUUCAAACACAACCGAGAUUUCCUACCCCUCAAAAUCCUCGGAAUUUUCUCGGACAGGCCGAGAAAGUUGCCGUUGAGGUUCUCGUUUAAGAAUUCGACUGAAAAAGGGGGUUUCAUCGUGAUUGGGGGAUGACAGACCAGAAAAUGGGAAGAUUUUCAGAGAGGAAACAGAGGGUUUGAGAGAGGAACUGGGGGAGGAAACACAGCAAGUGCCGCCGUCGUUCUCGCGACGAACGCUCUUGCCCUGAAGAAAGCUGCAGUUUUUGGCCUAAUUAAUAUUUAUAUAAUUAAAUUAAUUAAUUAAUAUUAAUCUAUACUUAAAAGAAAAUUAAUCAAGUCAAUUCAGGAAAGUUAUAAUGCGUCCAAUGAACGCAUGCCACGUGUUUCGAGUUCAAGUCGGCUUCCGCCAACGAGAAGACGCGUAAAUAAUUAUGGAAACAAAACUGAAGCAAAUACGCCUGAACAGACGGUAACAAAGGGGACAAAAAUCAGUCUUUUAAAACUUCAGCAUUUCUGUCGACAUCCACAAUAUAUAAUAGCUCGUCUUCUUCGUAUUUUCUAAUUCUUUAUUUCACUGUGAUAAUAUCAUUAUCUACUGCGUAUAGGGUAUGAUCAGCAGUUGAUGCUCACAAAAAUGAAAAAGAGACAGCCUUUCAUAAAGACCUGUUGCAUUCUCUGGUUAUAACAGAUGACGCUUCCACAAUUGAUGGUGAAGUUGGGAAGAAAUUGAACCUCAUGGUUCCUGUUCCUGUUCCUCAGGUUGGUGUUCUUCUCUUUCGCUGUUGUAGGAUUGCUGUAGUAGGCAAAACCAGAUGAGUGUUGCGAUUCUGGCUUUCUUCCGUGGUUUGAGCGUCAUUGAGCGUGUUUAAUGGUUGAUAGAUUAAUGUUGACUGAAGUUUUCAAGUUUUCUUUUACAAUAUCCUUGCAUUGAUUUGUAUAUCAAAUAUGCUGAUCUAUAUACGAUCCAUCCAUUAUCCGCAGUAUGCAUUAUGUACAAACCAAGGAGCUGCUCCUUGGAUGUAUGUAAACAAAGCUGGCUAACCACGCUCCAGAUUAGAUUCAUAGCCACAUCGCCCGUAUGCCUCACCUAAGCCACUUCUUAAAUGUGGGUGCUGCUCAAUAGCGUUCUUAAAAGCAUACCCAUGAAUUUCUUUGAUCAAACUCAGUGCCGCUAUGUUCUCACAAGCCAACAGCAAAGCAAGAAGCGUUAUCAAAUUAGGUCUCAAACCCCACUUUUCCAAUUCUCCUGUAGAUGAGAAAACUUUGCAAAUAGUUCAAGAAAAAGUUAACAAAUGAGGUGGUAGAAAGUGAAAACUUCAACAUCUCUGCAAAAUGAAGAAUGAUGGAAAGAGCUGGAAUCAUUUGAAUGUAAAGAAGAUGUUAAAUUUAAUGAUUUUUUCUGUUGAGUUUAAAUUCAAAAAAAGGAAAUCCACCGUAAAGUUGUUUUACGGAAGGACACGUAAAAUUCUAUGGGAUGUGUAUGCAUGAUUUUCGGUCGAUUUGAUUUGAUCGGUUGGUUGAUGUAAUCUGUUUAAAUUUGUAUUUUUAUAUAUAUAUGCUGAAAUAAAAAGAAGAGAUUACUUCUUCUCUCCAAAAGAAAGGGCACGCCUCUUCAAAACAGCAAAACAGAGGCAGUUGCAUAAGCUUGCUCUGUUUUGCUGCCCUCUCUCUCCUCAACUUUCUCUCUCUAAGUUUCCUUAUUCACAGAGCCUCCUUUGAAGCUUAUUCGCUUUCGAUCAACAAGUGGUAUCAGAGCUAGGUUAUCUUAAGGGACCGGUAAACCAAUAUACCCUCAAAAAAUCCAAUGACAUCCACUAGAACAACACCCCCUCCAUACUUCAAUGGAGAAAACUACCAUGUAUGGGCAAUCAAAAUGAGAGCCCAUCUGAAAGCCUUAAGUCUGUGGGAUGUUAUUCUGGAUGACAGUGAUCCUCCUCCACCAGGGGACACUGCCACUAUAAACCAAAUCAGAAGGCACGAGGAAGAUAAAGCCAAGAAACCAAAGGCAAUUGCUUGCCUUUUCUCGGCCGUUUCGGAUAGGGUAUUUUCAAGGAUUAUGAACUUCGAAUCACCAAAGGCUGCCUGGGAGAAACUUAAGGAAGAGUUCGAUAGGGGAGUCAGAAGUAGGAAGGUAAAAAUCUUGAGAUUGAAGAGUGAGUUUGCAUUACUCAGAAUGCAGGAAAAUGAAUCAGUGAAGGAAUAUGCAUCCAAACUCUCGGACGUGGUAAACAAAAUGAGACUGCUUGGGGAGGAUUUUCUGGAAUCAAGGGUAGUAGAGCAAAUUCUUAUCAGCUUGCCCCCCAAAUUCGCGUCUAAAAUCUCAGCUUUGGAGGAGGUUGCAGACAUUGAGACUAUCUCCUCGACUGAGCUGAUAAACAAGCUUCAAUCCAGUGAGCAACGGGUAAAUAUACAUGUUCGACAACAUACAGAGGGAGCCUUAAUUUCAACUCAGAACAAAGGCAGCUCUUCAACACAGAUUCAAGGAAGAAGGAGUGAAUGGAAUCAAACUGGAAACCAAAAUCCCAGUAAACAAAAGAAAUAUUCUGAGUGCAGUAUCUGUUCCUUAACAAAUCACUCAGAAAAUGAGUGCUGGUACAAGGGAAAGAAAACCGUUCAGUGCAAUUUUUACAAAAGGCUUGGUCACAAGGAAAAAUUCUGUAGAUAGAAACAGAAGCAGGAAGGAUCACGACCAAAGUAGGAACAACUGUAAGCCAAUAUCACCAAGGUGUCCUGUGAGCCAAGUGACACAAUUCUCGUUGCGCUAAGUAAGCCGCAAGUGGAGGAUGAUACUCUCUGGGUGGUGGACAGUGGAUGCACCUCCCACAUGUGCAAGGAUGAGGACUUAUUCGUAUCACUUGACAGAACAAUCACAGGCCAGGUCCGACUUGGAAAUGGUAUGCUAGAAACCAUCAAGGGCAAAGGCAACAUAGCCAUUGAAACCAAGGAAUGUAGGAAACUUAUCACUGAUGUAAAUUUUAUUCCUACCCUCUCACAGAAUCUUCUCAGUGUGAAUCAGAUGACUGAUCGAGGCUACUCGGUGGGAUUCAAUGAUAACUGCUACAGGAUAUAUGAUCCUGAGGAUCGCUUGAUUGCUUUCAUCCAAAAGAAGAAUCAAGUCUACUCCUUGAAACUCAGAGAAGUAGUUGAGAGGGUCAGUGUUGCCUCUGUAACUGAAGGUGAGAUUUGGCACAGGUGCCUUGGGCAUUUUCAUGCGGCUGGGCUACAACAAUUGCAGAAGGGAAGUCUAACCAAGGACUUUCCAAAUAUUGUAGUCACUGAGACAGUAUGUGGUGCAUGUCAGAUGGGGAAAUUGGCAAGGAAUUCAUUUCCUUCGCAAGCAGAUUAGAGAGCAAAAGAGAAGCUGGCACUUAUCCAUUAUGACAUUUGUGGUCCAAUGACAGAAAACUCCAUGAGUGGUUGCAGGUAUUUUGGCUUGUUUAUAGAUGAUUUUUCCAGGAUGAUUUGGGUUUGUUUCCUGCAGAAUAAAGCUCAAAUUUUAGGUGAAUUUAAGAAGUUCAAGGCUAUUGUAGAGAAUGAAAGUGGCAGUGUAUUGAGGUGCCUAAGGACAGAUAAUGGGCUUGAAUUCAAUUUCAGCCAAUUCAAUGAUUUCUGUUCUGAGAAUGGGAUCAAAAGACAGCUCACGGCACCAUAUUCUCCUCAACAAAAUGGUGUCUCGGAGAGGAAGAACAGAACCAUUGUGGAAAUGGCAAGAAGCAUGCUUGCUGACAAGCACCUGCCUAAAGCCUUGUGGGCUGAGGGAGUGAACACUGCUGUGUUCCUGCUCAACAUGCUGCCUACAAAGGCUGUAAAGCAGAUGACACCGGCGGAGGCUUGGAGUGGCAUCAAACCAUCAACUAAGUAUCUAAAGGUGUUUGGAUCCGUGUGCUACUGCCAUGUCUCGGAUGACAGGAGAUCCAAGCUAGAAAUGAAGACUGAAUUGGGAGUAUUUUUAGGAUACAGUACUGAAGCAAAAGCAUAUAGAAUUCUAAACCUGAAAACCAACAAGCUUAUGAUUCGAAGAAAUGUAACGGUGGAUGAAAACAGCUACUGGAAUUGGGAAAAGCAGAAAGUCGAACGAGACUGUGUCACAGUUGAAGAAGGAAAGAAAUCAAUGACAGUCAAACCCAACUCAGAGUGAUGAAGAAGACGAAUAAGAUGAAGAAGGUGAAGCAGAAGAGAGAAUAAAAAUAAAAAGUCUAAUUGACAUCAAUGAGAGGUGCAGCUUUGCCUCAAAAGAACCUUCCUCUGUUGAGGAAGCACUUCAGCAGCAAGAGUGGAGACUUGCCAUGGAAGAGGAAAUCAGGAUGAUCGACAAAAAUAAUACUUGGUCUCUGGUAAAAUCAAGUACAAACAAAAAACCUAUUGGAGUAAAGUAGGUGUUCAAAGUGAAACUCAAUCCGGACGGGACAACAAACAAGCACAAGCACGGCUUGUGGCAAAAGGGUACUCCCAGCUUUCAGGAAUCGACUACACAAAGACCUUUGCUCCUGUGGCCAGAUAUGAAACAAUUAGACUCAUUCUAGUCAUGGCAGCUCAGUUUAGUUGGAGUGUGAUGCAUUUGGAUGUAAAAUCGGCCUUCUUGAAUGGCAAGCUGAAUGAAGAAAUUUAUGUUGAGCAGCCACUGGGGUUCAUUCAACCUGGAAAGGAGAGACACGUCUAUCUUCUUCACAAGGCCCUAUACGGCCUCAAACAGGCUCCACAAGUCUGGUAUGAUAAGUUAAAUACAUACUUACUCCACUGUGAGUUUGAGAGGAGCAUGACAGAAAAUACACUGUAUGUGAAUAGAGAUGAAGACAGUCUUAUCACUGCAGUAUAUAUUGAUGAUAUACUGGUGACAGGCAGCAACAAAAGGAAAAUGAUAGAGUUCAAGCUAAAAUUGGAAAAGGAAUUUGAGUAUGUAGCCGCAGCUACAGCAACUAACCAAGCAAUUUGGUUGAAGAAGGUGUUCAAUGAUGUAAAGCUGAACAAACAAACACCUACAGUGUUAUAUGUAGACAACAAGUCUGCAAUUGCCAUUGCGAAAAAUCCUGUAAUGCACGGGAGAACUAAACACAUCAACGUUAAGUAUCAUGCUAUACGUGAGGCUGAGAGGAAUCAAGAAAUAAAGCUGAUACAUUGCUCCACUGAUGAUCAGCUUGCAGACAUUCUAACCAAGGUCGUGUCUAAAGCUAAAUUUGAGGAAUUGUGGAAAAAUGUGGGGAUUGGUGAAAAAAGUCAUUAGGGGGGGAGUGUUAAAUUUAAUGAUUUUUUCUAUUGAAUUUAAAUUCAAAAAAAGAAAAUCCACCGUGAAGUUGUUUUACGGAAGGAUACGUAAAAUUUCAUGCGAUGUGUAUGCAUGAUUUUCGGUUGAUCUGAUUUGAUCGGUUGGUUGAUGUAAUCUAUUUAAAUUUAUAUUUCUAUAUAUAUAUGCUGAAAUAAAAAGAAGAGAUUACUUCUUCUCUCCAAAACAGAGGCAAUUGCAUAAGCUUGCUCUGUUUUGCUGCCCUCUCUCUCCUCAACUUUGAAGGUUAUUCGCUUUCGAUCAAUAGAAGAAAUGAAAAACACUUUGGGGGAAAUAGUAAAAAAAAAUAAAGCGGAGGAAACAUAUGCAAAAUAAGUCUCCUUUAAAAAGAAAAAAUUAAAAAGAAAAGAGAACAGGAUUUAAAGUUGAUGCUGUUACAUAAGAAAAAAAUAAACGAACAAACAAACAAAGAACUGCUGUGUUUUUAAAGAAGAUACAACUUUCUAUAUGCGUAAUCAUCUUAGAAGGCUUUCUUGACGAGAACAUAUAUCAAAAUAAAGCAAGGCAAAGAAAGAUUGAAGCAAGAUUCCACAAACAUUUCUUACCCUUUCUCCUGCUCAACUGCAAAUGUUUCUGUCCUUUAUUCUUCUGCUUUUACGGCAACCAAACACCAGUUUUACACAUUCUUGGGUCUCAUCACGUCAUUCUUUUUUGGAGAAGCAUGAGAGCUAUGAUGUGAAUCUAUAUUUUGCAUGAGUGGCUAUGGGGAUAGAGGAGGAGGGAGAGGGAGUCCUACAAAGAGCCCAAAAGAACGGAGCUUUAGCAAGGUUCCCUCUUCAUCUCCUCCUCUGUCUCCUAGCCUCUCAUGGGAGCAUAUCCAAAGAAAAAACUACAAGGAGGAGUUUUAAGUUAACGGGUUUGAAGGUAUAUAUAGAGAGAGGAUAGACGGUAAUAUUUUGCAUGAGUGGCUAUGGGGAUAGAGGAGGAGGAAGAGGGAGUCCUACGAAGAAGAACCCAAACGAGGGACUUUAGCAAGAUUCCCUUCUUCCUCCCUCUCUAUCUCCUAGCCUCUCAUGGGAGGAGAUCAAAAGAAAAAAAAAAAUUACAGGGAUGAAGUUUAAGUUAAGGGGUUUGUAUGUUCAUGUACAGGGAUGANNNNNNNNNNNNNNNNNNNNNNNNNNNNNNNNNNNNNNNNNNNNNNNNNNNUUCGCUAUGAAAUAGGUUUCUUUGUGAAACUGAGCGAUCUGGAUUUCCUCCGUGGUUUGAGGAUCACUGAGCGGGUUUAAUGGUAGAUAGAUUAAUCUUGAGUGAAGUUUUCAAGGUUUCUUUUACAAUAUCCUUGCGUUGAUUUGUGAUGAUGAAAUCUCUGUGCUUUGAUUUUAAUUCAUUAGUGGCCUUUUUCGAAUCUUGCCUCACAAUCAAGGAUUGAAAUUCCAUCUCUCCAUUCUUGGGUAAAGAUUUCAAGUUUGAGCGUGAUUGGUCGGGUUUAAUGGGUAAAAAAAGUUAAUCAGAAAUUGCCUCACAAUCAAGCGUUGAAUGGUUUUGUGUUCUUCUUUUAACGUAGUUCGAGUUUUCAAGCUAUUUCUUUUAUUAUUUUAUUCGAAAUCACUCUGUGAUGAUGGAAUCCCUGCAUUUCAAUUUGAAUUUAUUAGUUAGAUUUUUUGAAUCUUGUAACUCAAAAUGGCCAGGUAAUAUACACUUAAACAAACAUUCGUCAAAACCUUUGUAAAUAAUUAGGAAUUUGUUUUAACACAGAAUGAGGUGUAAAUAAUUUUCUCCAUCAAGUGUUGUUUACGAUUGAUUUGUUUUGUAAAUCUUUUGUGAAAAGAACGUUUUAUGAAUGUUCAAUAUAUAUAUAUAUAUAUAUAUAUAUAUAUAUAUUUUAGUUUCUGAACAGUAGUUGAUGUUAGAAAUAUUUUUUGUUUAUUACGAUAUUCAGAUUGCAGUUGUAUGAUUUCAUUGAGAAUAAGAUUCAAAGAGAUUGGAGUUAUCAGGUUAGUUCUUUUUUCUGAUAUGAUUAUCAUAAAUAAUACUCAACGUUAAUAUAAAGAAUUUGUUGGAUUUUUAAGUAUAAAGGAACUUACCCACAAACCAAGGCCACCUCCCAGGGAGGAUCAGGUGCUUCUUUUCCUCUCUCUCCUCUCGCUUAUCUCUCUGUCUCGCCAAUCUCAUCCCCAGUUCCAUUGUCGGUUUCUCCUUUCUUCGAAUUCAAACAAAAGCGAGAUUUCCUAUCCCUCAAAAUCCUCGGAAUUUUCUCGGACAAGCCGAGAAAGUUGCCGUUGAGCUUCUCGUUUAAGAAUUCGACUGAAAAAGGGGGUUUCAUUGUGAUUGGGGGAUGACAGACGAGAAAAUGGGAAGAUUUUCAGAGAGGAAACAGAGGGUUUGAGAGAGGAACUGGGAGAGGAAACACAGCAAGUGCCGCCGUCGUUCUCGCGGUCCUGAAGAAAGCUGCAGUUCUUGUCCUAAUUAAUAU